GAUGAACGCUGGCGGCGUGCCUAAUACAUGCAAGUCGAGCGAACGGACGAGAAGCUUGCUUCUCUGAUGUUAGCGGCGGACGGGUGAGUAACACGUGGAUAACCUACCUAUAAGACUGGGAUAACUUCGGGAAACCGGAGCUAAUACCGGAUGAUAUUUUGAACCGCAUGGUUCAAAAGUGAAAGACGGUCUUGCUGUCACUUAUAGAUGGAUCCGCGCUGCAUUAGCUAGUUGGUAAGGUAACGGCUUACCAAGGCAACGAUGCAUAGCCGACCUGAGAGGGUGAUCGGCCACACUGGAACUGAGACACGGUCCAGACUCCUACGGGAGGCAGCAGUAGGGAAUCUUCCGCAAUGGGCGAAAGCCUGACGGAGCAACGCCGCGUGAGUGAUGAAGGUCUUCGGACCGUAAAACUCUGUUAUUAGGGAAGAACAAAUGUGUAAGUAACUGUGCACAUCUUGACGGUACCUAAUCAGAAAGCCACGGCUAACUACGUG
rnacentral:rRNA from 1 species